UGGGGAAUAUUGCACAAUGGGCGCAAGCCUGAUGCAGCCAUGCCGCGUGUAUGAAGAAGGCCUUCGGGUUGUAAAGUACUUUCAGCGGGGAGGAAGGGAGUAAAGUUAAUACCUUUGCUCAUUGACGUUACCCGCAGAAGAAGCACCGGCUAACUCCGUGCCAGCAGCCGCGGUAAUACGGAGGGUGCAAGCGUUAAUCGGAAUUACUGGGCGUAAAGCGCACGCAGGCGGUUUGUUAAGUCAGAUGUGAAAUCCCCGGGCUCAACCUGGGAACUGCAUCUGAUACUGGCAAGCUUGAGGCUCGUAGAGGGGGGUAGAAUUCCAGGUGUAGCGAUGAAAUGCGUAGAGAUCUGGAGGAAUACCGGUGGCGAAGGCGGCCCCCUGGACGAAGACUGACGCUCAGGUGCGAAAGCGUGGGGAGCAAACAGG
rnacentral:rRNA from 1 species